UAAAAAUAUGGAAGGACAGACGAGCACUUCCUGGACAAGAACGGAGGAGACCACUGGGUCUGACAGCAGCAUACGGUGGAGGCACUCCCAUGUACUUUGUGGCAUGAUACCAUCAUUUUUA
ensembl:snRNA